CGGCGAACUGUCUCCGAGCGGAGCCGGGCUGGAUUGGAUUGGACCCCUGGGCGGGAAAGGACGGACGGGUUAAGUAGCCAAUCACCAAUUGCGCUCCAGCCAGAGGGGCGAUGUUCUUGGGGAGCCUGGGGAUCUGGAAGAAGUUCAGUGUGAGGACGAGUGUUAGGAAAUAAGGCUGAAGACAGAGGCAACCCUGGAGGAUCUUCUAACCCAUGUCAAGCAGUUGAGAAUUUAUGGAGUGAAAUAGCAAGCCAUUGAAGAGUUUCAAGCUUUCAUCCAGCUUUUAAGGGAAACUAAUAUCUCAUGAAAUUGUGAGGGCCUGGAAUCUUCAAAGAGCCAAGGAUUCUGCCAGACUGAGCAAUAGACUUGAUGAGCAUUCUCCACUUAAGAUCUGAACUAUGAGAAGUCGAAUCAAAGCAGUUCUUUUGUAAUUCCAAACAGCCAUUUAGACAUAUGAAGAAAUGAAAGUAAAGCAGUUCUAAAGACAAGGAAGAGGGUCAAUGAAAGGUGCUCCCAAUGCAAUCACAAAGAUCUUUAAAAGUGGAAGAAGGUGGGAGAGGUCAGAGUGAUACGAAGAGAACUCAGUCUACCACUGCUGGCUUUGAAGAUGGAAGAAUGGGGCUAUGAGCCCUGGAUUGCGGGCAGCCUGCAGAAGCUGGGGCAGAGAUUCCACACAGGCACCUCUAGAAAAUAAUGCAGCCAGCCAAUCCUUAGACUUUAUCCCAGUGAGAGUCAAGUUGGACUUCUGACCUACAAAAGAGUAAAUAUCUAAAUUAUCUGUGGCAACAACUUGGUGGGGUCAACUCGAAUGUUUUUGUCGGCUGUUCUUGAAGACUUCUGGGUCUCUACAACCACAUUCUUUGGCUGGUGCCAGUGUUUAAGCACUCUGAAACUGCAUAGCAGCAUGUUUGAAGGUGGCCUGUCAAAUUUGGGAAACUGACGGUGUGACUGAGCUAGUCACAGGGGUCUUCACAGAAAAGGCAGUCGGGGUCCUGGUCAACUGGAGAUUCCAUCUGAAUGAUUUUAAAGAAGAUGUCAUCAUAUUGGUUCGUGAGAUGCUGGUAGCUCCCUGCUGAGAUGAAG
rnacentral:lncRNA from 1 species